rnacentral:rRNA from 1 species
UACGUAGGGGGCAAGCGUUGUCCGGAAUCAUUGGGCGUAAAGAGCGCGUAGGCGGUCCGGUAAGUCCGCUCUGAAAGUCCGGGGCUCAACCCCGGGAGGCGGGCGGAUACUGUCGGGCUAGAGUCCGGAAGAGGCGAGUGGAAUUCCUGGUGUAGCGGUGAAAUGCGCAGAUAUCAGGAGGAACACCAAUGGCGAAGGCAGCUCGCUGGGACGGUACUGACGCUAAGGCGCGAAAGCGUGGGGAGCGAACAGG